AGAAGGAGCUCUGCAGCACACCCUCCAGGGCACAAGAACAUUAAUUCCAAGACUGUCAAUUCUCUGUAAAGCACUGACAAUUUCAAUUUUAAUAGAGAGCUGGCCUGUAUAUUCUUUGAAAGUAAUUUCUUACUGUAUUUGUGCUAUACUAACACACCAGUAUCAUUAGAAGCCAGUGAUUUGCACCAGUCAACACACAUGUGGACUGUGCAAUUAGCAGUCUGAUGAGCCAUUUUACAUUCCAUAUGAAGCAAAGUUUAUUGUGUCCUAAAAUGUAAUGGCUCAGGUUGAGAAAAAGAGUGAAGUGUUGCCCAUACAUCACAGGUUCUGCCAGAAGACUAUUCCAGGACUUUUACCAACAAGUUUGUCAACAGCAAACAGACUCAGUGGAGCAAAGCUGGGAAUUCUCCACAUUCCCCUCUGCUAUUUGGGUUCAUUGUCCUUCUCAUCACAAUUACAUGUGUACUCAUUAAUUUCCUGUCAGAUUGCAAUGAACAAGAUAGUUCUUUCUGAGAACUUGAUGUCAGUGAGUUCUACUCUCUAGAGAAACUCCUGGAUGUGGACCAUGCCAUGUCUCCUUUAUACAGUGCUCGGCAAACCUUUACUACCAUUAUAUCAAAGCACUCUUGAACAUACUGUCUGUGUGCUGCACCUUUGCACACAUGCUAAUUGUGCAUUGCACAUUAGUAAGACAAAACAUAGUGCACUGAAAAAGUAACCUCAUUAUCUUGUUUCUCUUACUUUUGUAGGUGGUUUUGGAAAUAUCAACAACAAUAAUAAUGAUAAUGCAAAACGUAGAGGGAUUCAUUUGGGAUUGCAGAGAGCAGGGCACGGACCCUGUCAUAACAUAAAUAAUGACAGAUACUGAUUCAUAACCAAACUUCAGAGAGCUACCUACUUCCAGGCUGGUCCUUCACGAAGCUUGAACCUCUAAAGCAGCUCCAAAGGAAACAAAACUUUUCACUGGAACAACAUGUGCAACAAAAAAGAAUGGAACCAUCAAGAAGCAAAGCACAACAAAUGGUGUCCUUCUGAAACUGAACUGAGAAAUAAGGCUAAGAAAGGAGAUUGCGCUGAUGAAGUAAUUUGUUUGGGACUUGAUAAAUGAUGGACUCUAAGAAUUUGAAGAACUCUAAGGAAACUUUUGUAAACUGUAAGUCCUAUGUAAUCAAAAGGGUAAUGCUAUAAAAGUGAUCAUGAAGC
ensembl:lncRNA